ACUCGGCACCCGAGUCCUGCAGCGGGUCUAACAGACGCCGCCGAGUCUAAGUCCUCUUCCCCAAACUGAUCGAAGCAUCGCUCUGGCUCUUCACCCACUCCAUAGAGUACCCUUACCGCAGACGCCACCGACGCUGGGGAACGCCGCCUCGCCGCUACCUUCUGCUGGACUGCUGCACGACCUCAAGGACGACCUAGGUCAAUUAGCCACUCAAAAAGGUGUGGUAACCAGUAGAGUACUAGACGAUGGCACCUAAGGGCCGCAGGGGUAGCGUUAGCGAGUGAGGCCGUACCAAAAGCCCAAGGGCGAAUCUCUUCUCAGGUCCUGUCGAAUCUCGUGGGAUUUACCACGACGACGGCGGCGCUCUCCUUCGCGGCCGGAACGGACGCCUAAGGUUAACGCCUAGGCCCGAGGCCGGCACGUGUUGCUCAUCCACCCACGUCGGGUCCGGCCAGACCUCCGCUCAAGGCGGCCUCCUUCUUACGAAGGGGCUGAUCCAGGUGUCAGGUGUGUUAGGUGAACCUUCCACUUAGGCAUUCACGGGCUGCUUCUCCAUUACGCUCGGCUAAAAAAAAAACUAAAACUAAAGUCAACACACACGGGUUGACGGGUAGGAAAACGAUACGAGGAUUUUAGAAGUCAAAGUCAAACCUAUUAACUAAAAUUAUAACUAGGGUGGACAACCCGAGCACACGACAGACAAAUCCCUUGUCCUACCACAUAAUCAUCCAUGAAAUAAUCUAAAACCUCCUGACACUUUUCAACUUUCAUAGAAGACCUGUUAACUCCGACGCAAACCCAUCACGUGGUAGACUGGUCUACGGCGCACGGAGUGUAUACUCACACGAACUUGUUAGAUAGGCGUUUAAACGUUUUCUUGGAUGAUUCUCACACCACUUUCGUCUCGAACUAAAGUUAAAAAAUGAGCAACCCACUCUGCAUACUGUAAAUGUUGAACAUGAGAACCUUCCACUGAAACCGUAUGGCAUACCCUUCUCGACUGACUUGCGGCUCGCCUGGUUCGACUGCGUCCUCUAGCACACGCCGACAAACCGCUCGAAAUGAAAAUAAGACUUAAAAGUAAUACUACCGUCACCAAAUCACGGUACACCCUCUUUGUACAAUGUAAUAGACCUACAACAACAACGUCCCCUUCGGUCUCCGCCUCUUGUCGGCCAAUCGUGGACUUCCUACUCGAUCCCGGAUCCCCACACUCUAAUGUCACUGACUGUCCUCCCCGUAGGUAGCUUACAACCCACACUUUCUUUACUUCUACAUGGCACCAACCGAUCGUUCUACCACUCCUUAAAAAAUAGGCGAAAAACACCUUCUUGAAACGUUUGGUCUAUUACUUCAACUGAUCCUAAAGUAGGCAUUCUACUACCUGUGGUUCGAUUACCCAAUGUUCUAACUCACCGAUUUCUUCAAAUACAAGGACCAUGUGAAGUACUUCGUUUUUCUCGUUUAAAAACCCUUACAUCAACCUGAUUACCAGACAACCGUACCUCCUCUCACCACAAACGUAACAUGUGAUGUAAACGCUAUAGUUACCCGAAAUGGACUGCAGAGCUGAGUCAUCCUAUAACAAACUAGUGGACACCUCUUCAGAGCGUAUACUCUAGCACUGACACUCCCCCCUGAUCCGACUGUACGGUUGAAAGGACAUGAAGUUUUAGUACCUGACCACUUACUUCGCACCAAGUCUUAUCAACGUCCCGCCUGGAUAGAAAACUGAGACACCACGCACACAACAACAUCAAACAGUGAAAACCAAACGGUGGAGGCUUAGUCCUGUUGUUUAAACUUAAACAUAACAGCCUGGAUUUCAUGACCAGCUUACAACUUCAACGUCGUAAAGGUACUUU
rnacentral:rRNA from 1 species